GGAACUGCCCUGGGCAUGGGAGACCACGAGGAAAAGGGAGGAAAAGGGAGCUGGGUCCAGCUGUGCCUCUGCAGCCACCCCUUAAUUAAUGAGCUAAUUAAGCAUGCUCACACAGAACCACUAAGGUUGGACAAAACCUUUAAAGCCACCAAAUCCAACCACUGCCACAUCACCCUCGUGUCCCCAAGUGCCACCCGACCCAGGACACACAGGAGCUCUGAGCUUCACCAUUGAACAACGCUUUGUUUUUUUUUUAGUUUUUUCCUUUUUUAAAGAAUUCCCAUGAGGGGAGGGGGGUCGGGGUCAGUAGUGUGAGUGCAGUGGGGGGGUGGCCGUGUCCCCAGGCUGUCCCCAGGUCACUGCAUGUAGGCGUAGCGCCAGUCCCCCAGCGGCACGUGCGUCUCCUUGAUGGCCUGGGGGGACGUCCAGCGCAGCAGGUAAUGGGGACCCCCGGGCUUGUCAUUGGUGCCUGUGGGGACACACAGGGGUGGUGACACCAGGGGGGUGGCAGGGACAUGGAGGGACACAGAGGGAUGGGAGCACAUGGAGGGACAAGGGGCACAAGAGGGACAUGGACAGGAGAUACAGGAGGGACACAGAGGGAACACGAGGGACAUGGAGGGAUGGGAGGGACACAAAGGAUGGGGACACAGAAGGACAUAGGGCACAGGAGGGACAGGGAGAGAUGGGAGGGACACAGGGACAGGAGAUACAGGAGGGACAUGGAGGGACACAAGGGACAUGGAGGGACAAGGAGGAUGGGGACAUGGAGGGACGCAGGGCAGAAGAGGGACAGGAGGGACAUAGAGGGAACAGGAGGUACAGGAGGGACAUGGAGGGACACAGAGGGAUGGGAAGGACACAGAGGGACACGAAGGGAUGGGGACAUGGAAUGACAGGAGGGACCUGGAGGGACACAGAGGGACACGGAGGAAUAGAAGGGACAUGGGGUACAGAAGGGACAAAGAGGAACAGGGAGGGAUGGGAGGGACACAGGGACAGGAGGUACAGGAGGGACACAGAGGGACAGGAGGGACAUACAGGGAACAGGAGGAACAGGGAGGGAUGGGAGAGACACAGAAAGACAGGAGGGACAGGAGGGACAUGGAGGGACACAGAAGGAUGGGGACAUGGAGGGCCAUGGGGUACAGAAGGUACACAGGGACAGGAGGGACACAGAGAACAAGGGGUACAGAGCACAAGAGGGAUACAGAGAGAUGGGAGGGACAUGGAAGGAUGGGAAGGACACAGAGGGACAUGGGGGACACGGAGGGAUGGGAGGGACACCAACACAGAGGAGGGGGACAUGGAGGGACAUGGAGGAUGGGAGGGACACAGAAGGACAAGAAGCACAGGAGGAACAUAGAGGGACGGGUAGGACACUGAGGGACAUGGAGGAUGGAAGGGACACAAGACACAAGGAAUGGGAGAGACAUGGAGGGAAGGGAAGGACACAGAGAACAGGAGUGAAAUGGAAGGACAAGGAGGGGCAGGAGGGAUGCACAGGGACAGAGGGGAUACAGAGGCAUAUGGAGGACAGGGAGGACAUGGAGGGACACAGGGAUGGGAGUGACACAGAACAGGGACAUGGAAGGACAAGGAGGGACAUGGAAGGACAUGGAGGAUGGCAGGGACAGGAGAGACACAGGGGACAGAAGGGACAUGGAGGGACAGGGAGGAUGGGGACAAGGAAGGACAUGGAGGGGCAGGAGGACACGAGACACAGAGAUCAGGAGGGACACAGGAGGGCCACAGGGGGGCUGUCCAGCCCCGCUGGUGUCACCUGAGAUGCGGGCUCCCCCGAAGGGCUGCUGGGCCACCACGGCCCCCGUGGAUUUGUCGUUGAUGUAGACGUUG
rnacentral:lncRNA from 1 species